rnacentral:rRNA from 1 species
UACGUAGGGCGCAAGCGUUAUCCGGAAUUAUUGGGCGUAAAGAGCUCGUAGGCGGUUUGUCGCGUCUGCCGUGAAAGUCCGGGGCUCAACUCCGGAUCUGCGGUGGGUACGGGCAGACUAGAGUGAUGUAGGGGUGACUGGAAUUCCUGGUGUAGCGGUGAAAUGCGCAGAUAUCAGGAGGAACACCGAUGGCGAAGGCAGGUCUCUGGGCAUUAACUGACGCUGAGGAGCGAAAGCAUGGGGAGCGAACAGG